rnacentral:rRNA from 1 species
AUGAAGCAAAAGAUUGUCAUCCAAUUGAGCAUGUCGUGCGACAAGAGCCGGUCCAAAGCACUAACGCUGGCCGCCAGAGCAGCCGGGGUGACGUCCAUGGGCAUAACCGGCGACGCGAGGGACCAGCUGGAGGUGGUCGGCGACGGCGUCGACCCGGUGUGCCUCGUCAGCUGCCUCCGCAAGAAGCUCGGACACGCCCAAAUCAUCAAGGUGGAGGAGGUGAAGAAGCCGGAUGAAAAGAAGAAGGAUGACCCGAAGCCGGCCGUGCCCGUGCCCGUGAACCCGCCGCCGUGCUACUACCCGCCCAGCUACUACCACCACCAGUACCAGGCGCCGCACAUGGUAGUCUGCGAGGAACAGCCCGGGAACUGCCGGACCAUGUAG